UGUUGGGUUAAGUCCCGCAACGAGCGCAACCCUUCGCCUUUAGUUGCCAGCAGUUCGGCUGGGCACUCUAAAGGGACUGCCGGUGUUAAACCGGAGGAAGGUGGGGAUGACGUCAAGUCCUCAUGGCCUUUAUGACCAGGGCUACACACGUACUACAAUGGCCGAUACAAAGGGCAGCGACACUGCGAGGUGAAGCCAAUCCCGUAAAAUCGGUCUCAGUCCGGAUUGGAGUCUGCAACUCGACUCCAUGAAGUUGGAAUCGCUAGUAAUCGUGGAUCAGCAUGCCACGGUGAAUACGUUCCCGGGCCUU
rnacentral:rRNA from 1 species